GGGUAUCUUUUAGCAAAGUGCGCAGGUGGCAGGCACUGUGGCGAAGUGAAGCCGAGUAAAACAAGAUUCCCACCUUCAAUGCACUUACAGUCUAGUUGGGAAGAUAAGGUGUGCUCACAUGAAAGGAUAUCUAGCCAGUCACAUGUAGGUAGCAAGGCACGUUGGAUUUGGGCAGGUUCUACAUCAGUGUGGCUGAGUGACUUCACAUCAAGGCUGAAAAAUCACCAGACUGUCCUGGGAAAGGAAAGGAGGGAAAGGAGAGAAGGCGGUAGGAGCCCGGGGGCCUUUCCUAAACCGGGGCCCAUUCUCCAUCCAUAAAGGCCAGAGGCCCUGAGCACUGUGCUGGUCAGUCCCAGAUGAGUGGAUCCCUGAGAGUUAUGAUGUUACAGAGGCCUCUCGGCACAUUCCAGCCAUCCUUAAGCAUGCAAGUCUGCCACAGGGCGAGUACCUCAUUGAACUGGGCUUUGCUCAGAACACAAGUACUAUGGCAAGCUGUUCUCACAUGGGUGGACUUCUGAUGGCAGUGCCUUGAUGUUCUGCUCCACGGUCAGAACUACACUGGGCCAUACUUAACAGGCACUGGAUGAAAGCUCCAGAGUCAUCCUAGAGACCUGACCCACCCUGCCCCAAAGACUAGGCUCUUAGAGGUAAGAGAGGAGAGUAGGCUUCUGGGGGGCUACACUGUUUUCUGGCCUCUAGAAACAAAGCCUAGAAGGAAAAAAAUCCAUCUGCGGAAUGAGACCCUCCCCAGCCAUGUGGCAGGUGGCACAGGUUGGGGGGGGGACAAGCAGGUGUACCAAAGAAACCCUUAAGCACAUGGGAAAGAUUUUUGUUUUCUUGGGACAGUGAUGCUCAGUGAUGCUUUUUUCCAUUGUCUUCCCUUUUUUUACUACUGCCUUUGCUAUUACAGUUCUUUGGGGUUGUAAUAAAAUUGCAUACUUGUUUGUAAAUUGUAUUACCUGACCACUCUCUAGGCCGUAUAUAGUAAUUGGUGCACCUCCAUGUUUUCUGGAACUGAGGAAGAUGCCUGCCAAGAAACAAACAGAUGAAACAAAAUGUGUUCAAAUUAAUAAAGUGCCAGUUACAUACAAGAUCGAUCUGCUAGGCCAUUUUCUCAGUGAUGCCCUGAAAAGAACAAUUAGGUCUCUAGUUCUGAAUCAAGAUUUGUGGAAAUCCCAAAAGCAGUGAUUGGGCUCUUCAUCGCUAAAGAGCCUUUAGGGGUGGGGGAGGUGUACUGCGGCUAACAGCUGUAAAGAGGGUACACAGAUAUGCCAAAGAAGCCUUUUACAGUUAAUGCAAAUAUAGCAUUAGAUUUAUUCUUCACAGAAAUUUCCUUCUCUUGUCUUUUAUCAACAAUGCACCAAAAUGUGAAGGUUAUAAGAGCAUGCUCACCCCCAGCUCAGGGUCUAUUCCAUCUUCAUCUGGAAAGCAAAGGAAGUGGAUAUCCCAGAAGAAUAUUCCAGAGUAUGCAAACCUCAGAGAUAAAAGAUUUGGUCAGGGGUGUGUGGAUGAGCUAGGGGGAGGAGGGGACCAUUACACAAGCACACAGAGGCCCAAACCAAGAAGCUGAAUGCCAAUGUCUUUAGAUCUUUAUAAUCUGCAUCGACAUACUUAGGAAAGAAAAAACUCUAGAAUUGUUCCAGGUGUCUUGUGUCUCACAAAAGUAUAGUAGAAUAAUUUGACUUCUCAGGUCACAAAAGUAUGAGGGUAAUACAAAAUUCUGAAAACUAAGAGAUGUUUAACACUCACCCCUCCUCUCAUCCAGAAGCUUCCUGUUGAGGGCAGCCAGCUUCAGUCCCAUCCAGUCACCAGCUUUCCUUAGAGCAGAGCCAGCAGCAUCCGCUGAGAGGGAGCUCCAGAGGGGAAAGGCUGUCUUAUUCAAAUCUGAGGCACAGUGCCUGGCAUGUGGCAUUUACUCAGCACUGUUUACUGAAGUGAACCACAAAGGACAGUUAAGAGCACACUAGGUUAGGAGUCCAAACACCAAGCUUCUAGUCCCUGGUCUGCUGUUGGCUAGGAAUAACUAUGGCAGCCUGGCAUAUAUAAUUUCAAACAAGAACCAUUCUUCUAAACAAGUGACAUAAAGGUAAACUGCAUAUCAGGUGUUACCAUCACAGAAGACAAAACAUGCAUUUAUAUGUGCAUAGACACUUUGGGAUGGUGUGACAGUGGGGCAGGCACUGGGCAGGGGACUGGAGCAAGUCUUUUCACUCAACCUUAUGUUGUUAGAUUUUUGAGCUAUGUGAAUACGGUAUCUAUUUAAAAAUUAAAGAAUAAAACCAUAUGUAUAAGGAA